GGCAGAAGAAGGUGGAAGAGCUAACUUGCUGAGUCUUCCGGCAUUCGUCUUUCUUCCCUGCUGGAUGCUUCCUACCCGCGAACAUCAGACUCCAAGUUCUUCGGCCUUUGGACUCUCUUUUUUUGUUUUUUAAGAGACGGAGUCUAGCUCUGUCGCCCAAGCUGGAGUGCAGUGGCGUAAUCUCGGCUCACUGCACCUUCCGCCUCCUGGGUUAAAGCGAUUCUCCUGCCUCAGCCUCCCUAGUAGCUGGGACUACAGGCGCGCGCCGUCACGCCCGGCUAAUUUUUUGUAUUUUAGUAGAGACGGGGUUUCACCGUGUUGUCCAGCCUGGUCUCAAACUCCUGAGCUCAGGCAAUCCACCUGCCUCGGCCUCCUAAAAUGCUAGGAUAACAGGCGUGCGCCUCCGCGCCCGGCCUGCCUUUGGACUCUUGAACUUAGACCAGUUGUUUGCUGGGGCUCUUGGGCCUUUGGCCACAGACUGAAGGCUGCACUGUUGGCUUCCCUACUUUUGAGGUUUUGGGACUUGGACUGAACCAGUACUGGCUUCGUUGCUCCUCAACUUGCAGAUGGACUCUCAUGGGACUUCAUCUUGUGAUCGUCCCUGAAAACAGCUGGCUGUCUGGUUGGAUCAGUCCCCCGUGGCAAACUCAGGACUCUGCGUUCCCAGUACUGGCUCACAGAAUCUGGUUGAAUCACCAAAAUGUGAAGACAAGCCUUCAGUUCCCUUCUUGACCACCAGCAUGGAACUAAACAAUUAAACCUGUCAGAAAAAAAAAAGCUGCUGUAUUUUAAGGUAACAGAGACAUGGACUUUUUAAGGUAACAGAGACAUGGACUUGAGAAGACAACUUGGCUCAAUUCCUAGCUCUGCAACUUACUUACUAGGUUUGUGUCUUUGGACUGCAUCCUAACAAACAACUGUGUCAAGACAUUUGAACAGCAUAUUCUACACAAAUAAAAAGGAAAUGAUAAAGAUAAAAGAAAUUAAUAGAAUGGAAAGUGAUGGAGAUAAACAAGUGAAAAGAUGGUCCUUUGAAAAGACUAAAACAUGGCCAAUGCACUGGCAAGAAUGAUUGGGACAAUAAACAAAAUAUAUAUGCCAGGGCAGCUCCCGGCGAGAUCGACGCAAAAGGAGGGAGACACUACCUCUCUUUUCCAAAGCUAUCCCUUAUAUAAACAUCCUUGAAAAAGCACUCCGGAACAAAGGCAGUGAGUGCUUCCAUUCUAGCAAAGACUUGGAACCAA
rnacentral:lncRNA from 1 species